GGUUCUGUAGUCUAGUUGGUUAUGACGCAUGCUUCACACGCAUGAGGUCCCCGGAUCGAGCCCGGGCAGAAUCA
rnacentral:tRNA from 1 species